AUUGAACGCUGGCGGCAGGCUUAGCACAUGCAAGUCGAGCGGGGAGAUGUAGCUUGCUACAUUUCCUAGCGGCGGACGGGUGAGUAAUGCUUAGGAAUCUGCCUAUUAGUGGGGGACAACAUUCCGAAAGGAAUGCUAAUACCGCAUACGCCCUACGGGGGAAAGCAGGGGAUCUUCGGACCUUGCGCUAAUAGAUGAGCCUAAGUCAGAUUAGCUAGUUGGUGGGGUAAAGGCCUACCAAGGCGACGAUCUGUAGCGGGUCUGAGAGGAUGAUCCGCCACACUGGGACUGAGACACGGCCCAGACUCCUACGGGAGGCAGCAGUGGGGAAUAUUGGACAAUGGGCGAAAGCCUGAUCCAGCCAUGCCGCGUGUGUGAAGAAGGCCUUUUGGUUGUAAAGCACUUUAAGCGAGGAGGAGGCUACUUGGAUUAAUACUCUAGGAUAGUGGACGUUACUCGCAGAAUAAGCACCGGCUAACUCUGUGCCAGCCGCCGCCGUAACAC
rnacentral:rRNA from 1 species